rnacentral:lncRNA from 1 species
CUAAAAUGGCUUGCGUGGAGGUGGGAAGUAAGAAGUUUGAAAUUUUGGAGUUCCCAUAUGUUGUUUGCCAAUUGCAUACUCUUCCAAAUAAAGUCAGCAGGAGGAGAGGAUGUUGGUCUAAUUAGCAGCAAAAGAAUCUACCAUCUCCUCAGCACCUGUCACUGCGGGCUCAACUCUGCCGCCUGGUGGCUGGGGACAGGAAAUGAAUGUUGGAGUGCCCCUGCAUUGCUUCUGUGUAUAGUCAUGUCAUAUUUAUAUGGACACUAGAGGGUGCUCAGGGCACACUCAUGCUCAUACUAUGCUUGAAGCCAUACAACAAACCUGGGUCUAAAGAAGGCCAGAGGUGAGAUUUUCUGUAGUCUUAGAUGCUUAAAGACAAGUAUGAUCUGUUAAAAAAAUAUAUAUGUUAAAAAUGUGUUAUUCUUAGAAAGACAAUAAUUUGCAAUGUUUUCUUGUACUUUUUCCCAAGAUGACGUUCCAACCUGCAAGAAAAUUCAAUGGGAUUUCUGAAAUCAACAUCAAAGACCAGAAACUCAUGUUGCCUGCUCCUGGAAGCAAAUGCCAAGACCACAUAUGAAACCUCUGUCCCCUUUAGGGGUCAUGAAAAAAGCAAGAUGUGGAACUCCCAUUCAUUCACAAAUGCUAGGAGACAUUUUACUGUCCUUAUUUACAACAGCAAAACAAUAAGCCAAUACACAGCUAGAAUACGCAAGUGCUGCUGGAGAACUACUACUGUAGGAACUACUGGAGGUUCUGCGGGCUCCUCUGUGGGGCUUAUUUCACGAAACAAAUCAUCCUAA